UACGUAGGGUGCAAGCGUUAAUCGGAAUUACUGGGCGUAAAGCGUGCGCAGGCGGUGAUGUAAGACAGAUGUGAAAUCCCCGGGCUCAACCUGGGAACUGCAUUUGUGACUGCAUCGCUGGAGUACGGCAGAGGGGGAUGGAAUUCCGCGUGUAGCAGUGAAAUGCGUAGAUAUGCGGAGGAACACCGAUGGCGAAGGCAAUCCCCUGGGCCUGUACUGACGCUCAUGCACGAAAGCGUGGGGAUCAAACAGG
rnacentral:rRNA from 1 species